UGGGGAAUUUUGGACAAUGGGCGAAAGCCUGAUCCAGCCAUUCCGCGUGAGUGAAGAAGGCCUUCGGGUUGUAAAGCUCUUUCGGCAGGAACGAAACGGUCUUUUCUAAUACAAGAGGCUAAUGACGGUACCUGAAGAAGAAGCACCGGCUAACUACGUGCCAGCAGCCGCGGUAAUACGUAGGGUGCGAGCGUUAAUCGGAAUUACUGGGCGUAAAGCGUGCGCAGGCGGUUUUGUAAGACAGAUGUGAAAUCCCCGGGCUUAACCUGGGAACUGCGUUUGUGACUGCAAGACUCGAGUGCGGCAGAGGGGGGUGGAAUUCCACGUGUAGCAGUGAAAUGCGUAGAGAUGUGGAGGAACACCGAUGGCGAAGGCAGCCCCCUGGGUCGACACUGACGCUCAUGCACGAAAGCGUGGGGAGCAAACAGG
rnacentral:rRNA from 1 species